rnacentral:rRNA from 1 species
CAGGCCUAACACAUGCAAGUCGAGCGGAAACGAGUUAACUGACCCGUUCGGGUGACGUUACGGCGUCGAGCGGCGGACGGGUGAGUAAUGCCUGGGAAAUUGCCCUGAUGUGGGGGAUAACCAUUGGAAACGAUGGCUAAUACCGCAUAAUGCCUUCGGGCCAAAAGACGGGGGGGGGACCUUCGGGGCCUCUCGCGUCAGGAUAUGCCCCCAGGUGGGAUUAGCUAGUUGGUGAGGUAAUGGCUCACCAAGGCGACGAUCCCUAGCUGGUCUGAGAGGAUGAUCAGCCACACUGGAACUGAGACACGGUCCAGACUCCUACGGGAGGCAGCAGUGGGGAAUAUUGCACAAUGGGCGCAAGCCUGAUGCAGCCAUGCCGCGUGUGUGAAGAAGGCCUUCGGGUUGUAAAGCACUUUCAACAGUGAGGAAGGCGGGUACGUUAAUAGCGUGCUCGUUUGACGUUAGCUGCAGAAGAAGCACCGGCUAACUCCGUG